GACGUAGGAUGCAAGCGUUGUCCGGAUUUAUUGGGCGUAAAGAGUUCGUAGGCGGUUCGUUAAGUUUGGUGUUAAAGACCGGGGCUCAACCUCGGGACCGCACUGAAUACUGGCGGACUGGAGUGCAGUAGAGGCAAGCGGAAUUCCCAGUGUAGCGGUGAAAUGCGUAGAGAUCCGGAGGAACACCAGCGGCGAAGGCGGCAUCCUGGACUGGUCCUGACACUCAGGAGCGAAAGCGUGGGGAGCGAGUCCGG
rnacentral:rRNA from 1 species